UCGAAGCGGUUGUAGCCCAUAGCUUCACACAUGUGCAUUUGUUUAACAAAUUAAAAUUGACCAUGAGUUUUUACUAUUAAUUGAUGGCUCGAGGGAAGAGACAGCGGCAUAUUCUUCGUUGAAAUCAGGUGUGGGCUUUUGAUUAAUUAGACCCAACUUGUCUUGUCUCAUUGCAUGUCACCCAAUUUCGUUGUCUUCGGGGAAUAGAUGAUGACACAUGGACACCAUUCGGUGGCAGUUUGAUGUUUUUCAGGAAUGAAUUCCACCCGUCAUUCAAUACUACUAUGAGAAAAGUAGGGAAAUGCUCACCCUCUGCAAAAUGUACUGGUUCGUCUCGCGGUCUCACCCCCAAAAACAGAGGAGAGGAGCAGGGAGCUCCUCCCCCACACUCGUCGGCUCCAAGGAGCCCCGCCGCCAUGCAUGGAGAUGAGGAGCAGGGAGCUUCGCCGUCGCGCAAGGCAAACCAAGUCUGCAACAUUUGAAUAUUAUACUCAGUCAGUUGCUCGACUACUUGUAGUCCUAUUACUUGAGACUAUACUUGGUCAGCUGCCAUGUACUCCCUCCGUCCCAUAAUAUAAGAACGUUUUUGACACUACUGUAGUGUUAAAAACGUUCUUAUAUUUUGGGACAGAGGGAGUACAUUAUUCUGACAUAAAUGACACCAUGUAUAUGUGCAAGUCAGAAGGAACUGGCCAUCUAAAAAGAUGUCAAAUUAGUUUUGUA